GUACCUUAUUAAUGUUUGGUAGUGAAAUAUAAAAAAUAAAAUAAAAAAUUAGCAAUGUUUUGAUACGAACAUUCACUACACGCAGAGAACUAACAACGAUUCAAAACAAUAAUUAUUCUUGUUGUUUUCAAUAAGCUUUUUCAGUUUGUUGUAAAUCAACAAAUUGUGCUGAAACAGCAAUGACUUUUAUCAAAACAAAUAAAAAUAUUGUUGGAUUUGCUGGCAGCAUUUUCAAUUUGAUUUUUGUUGAAACAACAAAAUCAAAUCUUUAUUUCAAAUCAUAGAGUUAUUUGUUUCAGUUACUUUUAUUGUUAUUUGAAACGAAAAUUUAACUCAGUGUGUAAGGCAGUGUGUGGCCCGCCAUUUUAUUUCGCGCUGUAAACGGAGUGUAAGAAAAAAUGGCUGACGCGGAAGAGCUCAUCGAAGAACUCGAUGUGGAAAAAAAUAUCCGUGGAGGAAGUCGAGCUGAUAGAAUUGCUCAACAGUUUUAGAAUUACUGAAGCUAUUAUUGAAGCCCUUCUUGGUAAGUUUUAACCAUUCUUUUAUAGAAUUUCAAUUCUCAUCAGCCUUUUUUCGUGAUUGCAGUUAAUUCUUACACGAUUGAAACGCUAAAAGUGAUUCAGCGGCAAGAAAUCGAGCUGCUGAUUCUACCCCCGUCGCUUGCGGAGUGGACCAAAUUCAUUCAUACAUUGGAUAUUUGGAGAACAGCGCAGGGGCUACCAAAAGUCCAAAAAAUUCCAGCAAGUGGCAGCAGCUCUGCUUCGGUGCAAAAUACCAUUGUAAAGCCUUCUGAACCAAGGAUCACGUGGGAUUCAUGCACGGCCACCUAUUUGCUGAAAAAACUCGUCGGAGGCACAAGCCAUCAUACGAAAAUACAGCCAAACACCGUUUCUCUCAAGAUCCGACAAAAUGUAUCACCCACUGAAUUUUAAAAUAUACGGUGUUAGAAGUUAUGAUCGUUUUUCUUAAUUUCAAAAUAAGAGCAAAAUAAAAUUUAGCGGGGUGGAGGGGGAGCAGAUCUGGGAUCAAUAAAAUCUUUAUUUAUUUCUAAUAAAAACAUUUUCAAAUUAAAAACCAAGUGUGAUUUAUUUUAAAAAUGUUAUGUUUUAUUUUAAAGCAAAAAUAUUGUUAUUUCGAAAGAAAAAAAUAUUGAAUCAAAAAUUAAUUUUGUUGAACCGCAUUGGACCCAGCUGUCAAAUUCAACAAUUAAUAUUUUUAAACUGAACUGCUUAUAGUUAUUAAAACAAUGAAAGGAUAUUAUAAGCCGGCAAAUAAUACAGAAAAAUGGUUGAAAUGAUACAGAUUUUUGUUGAUAUUAAAAAUGUUUUCGCUGCGUGUAUGGAAUAUGUAUAUGCAUUUAAGAGCCAAACUGAUAGAAAUUAACUAAAUCGUUUGGUUUUGGAUUUGU
rnacentral:lncRNA from 1 species